AGAGUUUGAUCCUGGCUCAGGAUGAACGCUAGCGGGAGGCCUAACACAUGCAAGCCGAGCGGUAUUUCUUCUUCGGAAGAGAGAGAGCGGCGUACGGGUGCGGAACACGUGUGCAACCUGCCUUUAUCUGGGGGAUAGCCUUUCGAAAGGAAGAUUAAUACCCCAUAAUAUAUUUGAUGGCAUCAUUAGAUAUUGAAAACUCCGGUGGAUAGAGAUGGGCACGCGCAAGAUUAGAUAGUUGGUGGGGUAACGGCCCACCAAGUCGAUGGUCUUUAGGGGCCUGAGAGGGUGAUCCCCCCACACUGGUACUGAGACACGGACCAGACUCCUACGGGAGGCAGCAGUGAGGAAUAUUGGACAAUGGGUGAGAGCCUGAUCCAGCCAUCCCGCGUGAAGGAAUAAGGUCCUAUGGAUUGUAAACUUCUUUUCUACAGGGAUAAACCUAUUUACGUGUAAAUAGCUGAAGGUACUGUAGGAAUAAGCACCGGCUAACUCCGUG
rnacentral:rRNA from 1 species